rnacentral:rRNA from 1 species
GACGAACGCUGGCGGCGUGCUUAACACAUGCAAGUCACGGGGGCCCGCAAGGGCAACCGGCGAACGGGUGCGUAACACGUGACCAACCUGCCCCUGUGUGGGGGAUAGCCAUGCUAACGCGUGGGUAAUACCGCAUACGGUUCUUGAGAGGAGUCUCUUGGGAAAGAAAGCUCUGGCGCACGGGGAGGGGGUCGCGGCCUAUCAGCUAGUUGGUGCGGUAACGGCGCACCAAGGCGACGACGGGUAGCUGGUCUGAGAGGAUGGCCAGCCACAUUGGGACUGAGAGACGGCCCAGACUCCUACGGGAGGCAGCAGUGGGGAAUCUUGCGCAAUGGCCGAAAGGCUGACGCAGCGACGCCGCGUGUGGGAGGACGCCUUUCGGGUGU